UACAGAGGGUGCGAGCGUUAAUCGGAAUUACUGGGCGUAAAGCGUGCGCAGGCGGUGAUGUAAGACAGAUGUGAAAUCCCCGGGCUCAACCUGGGACCUGCAUUUGUGACUGCAUCGCUAGAGUACGGUAGAGGGGGAUGGAAUUCCGCGUGUAGCAGUGAAAUGCGUAGAUAUGCGGAGGAACACCGAUGGCGAAGGCAAUCCCCUGGACCUGUACUGACGCUCAUGCACGAAAGCGUGGGGAGCAAACAGG
rnacentral:rRNA from 1 species